CCGGAAAUGAGGUCAGAGAGGGAAACUCCGGCGGGGAGACUCUGCCCAAAAAGCGGCGCCCUUCGGAGCUGGCGGCGGCAGCGGAUGUGGCCUCAUGGAUGAGCUGGUACAUGAUCUAGCUUCAGCCUUGGAGCAGACAUCUGAGCAGCAUAAGCUUGGUGAGCUGUGGGAGGAGAUGACCCUGAGUCCCCGGCAACAGAGGCGGCAGCUUCGGAAGCGCCGAGGCCGGAAACGCAGGUCUGACUUUACUCACCUGGCGGAGCAUACCUGCUGCUACAGUGAGGCCUCGGAGUCAAGUCUGGAUGAGACCAUCAAGGACUGUCGAGAAGUGGCCCCAGCCACCAAUUUCAGUGACUCAGAUGAUACCAUGGUGGCCAAACGACACCCAGCUCUCAAUGCCCUAGUUAAGAGUAAGCAACAUUCUUGGCAUGAAUCUGACUCCUUUACUGAAAAUGCACCUUGUCGACCACUCAGACGCCGGCGGAAGGUGAAGCGAGUGACAUCAGAAGUAGCUGCCAGCCUUCAGCAGAAGUUGAAGGUGUCAGAUUGGAGCUAUGAGAGAGGCUGCAGGUUCAAGUCUGCUAAGAAGCAGCGCCUGUCCCGCUGGAAGGAGAAUACUCCCUGGACCUCAUCAAGCCAUGGGUUGUGUGAAUCAGCAGAAAGUAGGACUUUCCUAAGCAAAACAGGAAGAAAAGAAAGGAUGGAGUGUGAAGCUGAUGAACAGAAACAGGGCUCUGAUGAGAACAUGUCAGAAUGUGAAACCAGCAGUGUGUGUAGCAGCAGUGACACUGGGCUCUUUACCAAUGAUGAAGGACGGCAAGGGGAUGAUGAGCAGAGUGAUUGGUUCUAUGAAGGAGAAUGUGUCCCAGGAUUCACUGUCCCUAAUCUUCUACCCAAGUGGGCUCCUGAUCACUGCACUGAAGUAGAAAGAAUGGACUCUGGACUGGAUAAACUUUCAGACCCCACAUUCCUUUUACCUUCCCGGCCAGCUCAGAGAGGGUACCAUGCUCGCUUAAAUCGCCUGCCAGGAGCUGCAGCUAGAUGCCUCAGGAAGGGACGAAGAAGGCUGGUUGGGAAGGAGGCCAGCAUAAGCACUCUUGGUACUGAGAGGAUAAGCCAUAUCAUCAGUGACCCCCAACAGAAAGAAAAGAAUAAAGCGUUGGCUUCUGAUUUUCCUCACAUUUCUGCUUGUACACAUGAGUCUAAUCCUCUCUCUCCCCUUUACUCUCUGGAUGUUCUUACUGAUGCUUCUCAUCGAAGAUGCUCACCAGCACACUGCUCUGCCAGACAGGGAAACAUACACUGGGGAUCACCAUGUACACGUGACAUCAAGAGGAAACGGAAGCCUGUGGCCACAGCAUCUCUGUCUAGCCCUAGUGCAGUUCACAUGGAAGCGAUGGAGCCAGCUCCAGCAGCCCCGCCGACAGUGCAAGUCCCACAGUCUCCAGACUCUGAGUGGUUGAUCAGGACCUCUACCAUAGACAAAGCCACUGACUCAACUGCAGCCACGUUUUUUAAGACACCCCAGGAAAAGGGCUCUGGAUGCAGCUAGAGAGCACUGUCACCACAGGACCUGAAACUGUGUGCAGUCUCUCCUAGCUCCACUGUCCAGUUCUUUCACUUCACACCUGGCUGAGGACUUGUGCACUUAGAGAAUCAUAUUGUGGGAAUCUUAAUACUUUCUUUCUUUUAAUUAGUAAAGUAUGGAAGCCACAAUUCAAGAGAAGGAUGCCUAUGCUAUGUCCUGUUUAUUACGUUAUUAUCCUUUUAUCUACAGCUUCCGUUAGAGAGCUGUUGCUUUUUUGCAGAUGUUGUUCCUGAAAUACUAGAAAUGGCUUUUGCAUAUCUUUUGUAUAAAGCUUUUAAUAUUUGAGGAAGUCCCAAAUUUACAUCCAGUUCCAAAACCAAUUCCUGAAUGGAGCUUUGCUUGCAGGAGAUGAGGCUUGCUGUUGAACUAGGCCUUGGUUCAUCUAGAGUGCCAAUACCAUAUGUCAAUCAAGGUUUCAGUUUGUGGCCUCAAGAGACACCAGCAGCAUGGGAACUUCAUGCCUGCAGCUGGUGUAAUAGGAUCACCUGCAGCUGCAUUGUCCUUUCCCUCAUCUCCAAAGUUGUUCUGCUGAAAGAGGACAUUGUCUAUACAUACACAUUGCUGUAAUGAUAUGGAGACAUAGUUUAGGUGGGCAGCAAACUUGACAUGGUCAGUGGAUGAUGUCAUCCUUCAGGUCUCUGUGUAAGCCUUAUGUCCUAAGUGGAACUUCACUGUUACUGUUAGAGGUCAAUGACCUACAGUAGAAACUGACACUUUUAUUAUAAAAAUGGUUUCUUGGGGCCAUGAUUUGGAGAGGAAAAAAUGUCUUUUGACAUGCCUUUCUACUUGGUGUGUUCAUGACUGCUCAGCUGCAUGUAGAGUUAUAUAUACAGUCGUGCCUGAAGUUGGAUAUUACUUUGUCAAAUUGAGGAAUAAGUGACUGCCGGGAGCUGCUGGAGAAAAGUGACAAGCUUUCUCAAAAGUAUUAUCAAGAAUGUCUGUCAUGCAGGGGUCUGGUUGACAGAGGGUUCUUUUUUUGUAUGAACUGAGUGCUUUUACUCUGAAGGACAUGAAAGCUGUUUGUUACAUGCUCACUGUUCUGGUCACCUGGGAAAGGAGCAUGUGCAUACACACAUGCCCCGGUGUUUUGUUUUAAUGUAGGUGUGGGUGGUACUGUGCUUCCUUUCCCUAGAGUGAAAUUGUCCCUCCCACACAGAGUGUAAUUAUUGGUGUGUUGCUUUACUGUGUUCUCUUUAAAAAUUACAGUUCCUAUCGGUGGAAACUCCAGAAUUUCGUUGUCAAUGAGGUGGGCAGGUGGUUGGGUAUGAAUCUUGUCAUUGUACUUUAUGUAAGUGUGAGAUGAUAUGAGUUGGCCCCCACAAGGGAUAUGGUGGAGGCUGGGGCAGAUGGAGGAUGUGGGAUGGGAGAACAGUGUUAAAGCCCAGGCAUCUUCAGAAUCACCCCUGAAGGAGUGAGAGUUCUGUUGGAGUGUCAAGACUGCACUUCUGUUCCCUGUGAGCUGUACCCACAGAGGUAGAGAGAAGGUGGUGCCUGUUAGCUCUACUGGCUCUACUGAAUUAUCUCAGUGAUGAAGACAAAACUGUCAAGACUUGGGACUAAAACAUUUCAAACACAAUAUUGAAGAGUGGACUGAAGAUGUACAUGAAGGAAGCAACCUUGGUGAGGCUGGGAAGUCGGAAGGCAAAGAGAAAAGAAGAUGCACCAACCAGGGGCUCAAAGGGUGUUCCCUGGUCCCAGUGGUCCCCUAAGUUGGCAGCCUGCUGAUCCAGAGAUGGGGUGGGGGAGGCCCAGCAAGCUUCUAACAAGCUCUCCAGGGUAUUGAAUAUAGGCACUGAACCACAGUUGAAUAGAGAUGUCUUAACAUACCAGUAUCAUAAGGUCAGGUGCUAUAGCUCCUCCAGAAGUAAAGUCUUUUGUAUAUGACUACUGUUAAUGUCUAUUUCCCAGAUUUUCUCUUGGCAGGAUCCUGAAAGAUUGGAAAUACUGAGAAAGGAUGAUAUGUAAGAUGGAUGGGAAGAACCUUUUUAAAUGGAAUCUUGAACUGAGAAGAGGACCCCAAGUCCAUUUCUACAUAAAGAUGCUUUCCAUCAAAUGUUUUUUUUUUAGUCUGGCUUUGUACAACCAGUCAGUGUUUGGCUGUAGGUGAUGAGACAGACAUACUUUCUUGUACCAUUUUAGUUUUGGACUCCCAUUUUAUUAAGGAAACUUUGUUGUUUUAGGCACUGGCCUUGCUAUUAAUAAAGUGGAACUUGAUUUCCCA